rnacentral:rRNA from 1 species
UCCCUAAAAGACCAUCCCAGUUCGGAUUGCAGGCUGAAACCCGCCUGUAUGAAGUUGGAAUCGCUAGUAAUCGCGGAUCAGCAUGCCGCGGUGAAUACGUUCCCGGGCCUUGUACACACCGCCCGUCACACCAUGAGAGUUGGGAAUGCCCGAAGCCGGUGACCUAACCGAAAGGGAGGAGCCGUCGAAGGCAGGCUUGAUAACUGGGGUGAAGUCGUAACAAGGUAGC